rnacentral:rRNA from 1 species
GUGCCAGCCGCCGCGGUAAUACGGAGGGUGCAAGCGUUGUUCGGAAUCACUGGGCUUAAAGAGCGUGUAGGCGGAGUGUCAGGUGUUGGGUGAAAUCCCCGGUCUCAACCCGGGAACUGCCUGGCAAACCGGCAUUCUUGAGGCAGGUAGAGGUGACUGGAACGACUGGUGGAGCGGUGAAAUGCGUAGAUAUCAGUUGGAACGCCUGAGGCGAAAGCGAGUCACUGGGCCUGUCCUGACGCUGAGACGCGAAAGCGUGGGGAGCAAACAGGAUUAGAUACCCCAGUAGUCC